CCUACGGGAGGCAGCAGUGGGGAAUAUUGGGCAAUGGAGGAAACUCUGACCCAGCAACGCCGCGUGAAUGAUGAAGGUCUUCGGAUUGUAAAGCUCUUUUCUAAGGGAAGAAGAAAGUGACGGUACUUCUGGAAUAAGCCUCGGCUAUCCAUGUGCGAGCAGCCGCGGUAAGCCGGAGGAGGCGAGCGUUAUGCGGAAGUACUGGGUGUAAAGGGUGCGUAGGUGGUUUGGCAAGUUGGUAGCGUAACUACGGGGCUCAACCCCGGCACUACUACCAAAACCGUCGGGCUUGAGUGCAGGAGAGGCAGGUGGAAUGCCUGGUGUAGCGGUGAAAUGCGUAGAUAUUAGGAAGAACACCGGUGGCGAAGGCGGUUUGCUGAACUGUGACUGACGCUGAGGCACGAAAGCGUGGGGAGCAAACAGGAUUAGAUACCCGUGUAGUC
rnacentral:rRNA from 1 species